ACAAAAUUAAACCGGUUUAUUCUGAAGCACCAGUGUUUAUUUCUAUAUUAGAGGUGCCUAAUUAAGCACCUGUCCUAUAGAACACAAGCACUAGUGCUUAGACAAAACCCGGUUUAUUUUGUGCA